rnacentral:rRNA from 1 species
UACCGAGGGGGCAAGCGUUGUUCGGAAUUACUGGGCGUAAAGGGCGCGUAGGCGGCCUGUUAAGUCGAACGUGAAAUCCCCGGGCUCAACCCGGGAACUGCGUCCGAUACUGGCAGGCUUGAAUCCGGGAGAGGGAUGCGGAAUUCCAGGUGUAGCGGUGAAAUGCGUAGAUAUCUGGAGGAACACCGGUGGCGAAGGCGGCAUCCUGGACCGGCAUUGACGCUGAGGCGCGAAAGCCAGGGGAGCAAACGGG